UGAGGGAAAGGCGAAAAGAACCCCGGCGAGGGGAGUGAAAAAGAACCUGAAACCGUGUACGUACAAGCAGUGGGAGCCCCACCACCAAAGCAUUCUCUGGUGUUGAAGGCCCUGCAAAGCAGCAUCGCGGUGGCGGAGCGUCGUUUGCGACGCCCAACACACAAAACAAGCGGUGAGUGCUUUGGGGUGGGGUGACUGCGUACCUUUUGUAUAAUGGGUCAGCGACUUAUAUUCUGUAGCAAGGUUAACCG
rnacentral:rRNA from 1 species